CGAUACGAGUUUGAUCAUGGCUCAGAAUCAACGCUGGCGGCGUGCCUCAGACAUGCAAGUCGAACGACUAAAGCUCUCUUCGGAGAGUGUAUAGAGUGGCGCACGGGUGAGUAACACGUAAGUAAUCUACCCUCGAGUGGGGAAUAACAACCGGAAACGGUUGCUAAUACCGCAUAAUGCAGCGGCACCGCAAGGUGACAGUUGUUAAAGAUUUAUCGCUUGAGGAGGAGCUUGCGGCAGAUUAGCUAGUUGGUAGGGUAACGGCUUACCAAGGCUACGAUCUGUAACCGGUCUAAGAGGACGGUCGGUCACACUGACACUGAAUAACGGGUCAGACUCCUACGGGAGGCAGCAGUCGGGAAUUUUGGGCAAUGGGCGAAAGCCUGACCCAGCAACGCCGCGUGAAGGAUGAAGUAUUUCGGUAUGUAAACUUCGAAAGAAUAGGAAGAAUUAAUGACGGUACUAUUUAUAAGGUCCGGCUAACUACGUG
rnacentral:rRNA from 1 species